rnacentral:rRNA from 1 species
GAUGAACGCUGGCGGCGUGCCUAAUACAUGCAAGUCGAGCGAACAGAUGAGGAGCUUGCUCCUCUGACGUUAGCGGCGGACGGGUGAGUAACACGUGGAUAACCUACCUAUAAGACUGGGAUAACUUCGGGAAACCGGAGCUAAUACCGGAUAAUAUAUUGAACCGCAUGGUUCAAUAGUGAAAGACGGUUUUGCUGUCACUUAUAGAUGGAUCCGCGCCGCAUUAGCUAGUUGGUAAGGUAACGGCUUACCAAGGCAACGAUGCGUAGCCGACCUGAGAGGGUGAUCGGCCACACUGGAACUGAGACACGGUCCAGACUCCUACGGGAGGCAGCAGUAGGGAAUCUUCCGCAAUGGGCGAAAGCCUGACGGAGCAACGCCGCGUGAGUGAUGAAGGUCUUCGGAUCGUAAAACUCUGUUAUUAGGGAAGAACAAAUGUGUAAGUAACUAUGCACGUCUUGGCGGUACCUAAUCAGAAAGCUACGGCUAACUACGUG